GACGAACGCUGGCGGCGUGCUUAACACAUGCAAGUCGAACGGAAAGGCCCUGCUUUUGUGGGGUGCUCGAGUGGCGAACGGGUGAGUAACACGUGAGUAACCUGCCCUUGACUUUGGGAUAACUUCAGGAAACUGGGGCUAAUACCGGAUAGGAGCUCCUGCUGCAUGGUGGGGGUUGGAAAGUUUCGGCGGUUGGGGAUGGACUCGCGGCUUAUCAGCUUGUUGGUGGGGUAGUGGCUUACCAAGGCUUUGACGGGUAGCCGGCCUGAGAGGGUGACCGGCCACAUUGGGACUGAGGUACGGCCCAGACUGCUACGGGAGGCAGCGGGGGGGAAUAUUGCGCAAUGGGCGGAAGCCUGAUGCAGCAACGCCGCGUGCGGGAUGACGUCCUUCGGGUUGUAAACCGCUUUCGCCUGUGACGAAGCGUGAGUGACGGUAAUGGGUAAAGAAGCACCGGCUAACUACGUG
rnacentral:rRNA from 1 species